GCACAAGCAGCGAGCGUGUGGUUUAAUUCGAUGCUACACGAAGAACCUUACCUGGGUUUGACAUGUACGUAGUAGUGAACCGAAAGGGGAACGAGCCUUCGGGCAGCGUACACAGGUGCUGCAUGGCUGUCGUCAGCUCGUGCCGUGAGGUGUUGGGUUAAGUCCCGCAACGAGCGCAACCCUCAUCGCUAGUUACAUGUGUCUAGCGAGACUGCCAGGUUAACCCUGGAGGAAGGUGGGAUGACGUCAAGUCAGCAUGGCCUUUAUGCCCAGGGCUACACACACGCUACAAUGGUCGGUACAAUGGGAUGCCAAGCCGUGAGGCGGAGCAAAUCCUCAAAGCCGGCCUCAGUUCGAAUUGGAGGCUGCAACUCGCCUCCAUGAAGUCGGAGUUGCUAGUAACCGCAGGUCAGCUAUACUGCGGUGAAUACGUUCCCGGGGCUU
rnacentral:rRNA from 1 species